GCCGAAGUGAUGGAACUGGCAGACUUGACGGAUUCAAAAUCCGUUGGUAGCAAUACCGUGUGGGUUCGAAUCCCACCUUCGGCACCA
rnacentral:tRNA from 1 species